UCAACAAGCCAAUUUUGUUCU
rnacentral:piRNA from 1 species